rnacentral:rRNA from 1 species
UAGAGUUUGAUCAUGGCUCAGGAUGAACGCUAGCGGCAGGCUUAAUACAUGCAAGUCGAACGGGAUUUAGGGUAGCAAUACUUUAAUGAGAGUGGCGCACGGGUGCGUAACACGUAUGCAACCUACCUUUAACUGGAAGAUAGCCCCGGGAAAUCGGGAUUAAUAUUUCAUAACAAUGCGCGAUGGCAUCAUCAUGCAUUUAAAGCUCCGGCGGUUAAAGAUGGGCAUGCGGGACAUUAGCUUGUUGGUGAGGUAACGGCUCACCAAGGCGAUGAUGUCUAGGGGUCCUGAGAGGGUUAUCCCCCACACUGGUACUGAGACACGGACCAGACUCCUACGGGAGGCAGCAGUAAGGAAUAUUGGUCAAUGGGCGCAAGCCUGAACCAGCCAUGCCGCGUGCAGGAAGACGGCCCUAUGGGUUGUAAACUGCUUUUGUCAGGGAAUAAACCCCCGUACGUGUACGGGGCUGAAGGUACCUGAAGAAUAACAUCGGCUAACUCCGUGCCAGCAGCCGCGGUAAUACGGAGGAUGCAAGCGUUAUCCGGAUUCUUUGGGUUUAAA